GAAGAAGAUGGGCAGAGUACAGUUUAAGCCCCGGGUUGAAGAAUACAUUCAAUUUGGAGAGCUGGAGAAGACCUUUGAAGGAGGUCAAAAUGAGAUCUUGGAACAGAACUCUCACCUGUGUGUCUGGAUAUGCAUGAAAACUGGACAGUAUUACUGAGCUACUGCUUACGUGGUGAGCAGAAAAUCGAUAACCACAAGCUGGAAUCAAAAUUGCAAAAGGGAGAGAUAUCUGAGAAUCUGGCUUGUUUGUAUUCUUUAAAAGAUUGCGUUUGAUUGAAGAGUACUCAAACCAGAGGGACACUUGCCAGGAAAGACAAAAAGUCUUUUGUCAUGCCAGGAGGGAUGUAAAGUCCUCUAUGAAAGUGGUCUUAGAACCAAGACAACUCCAAAGUCAAGUCAAAACGCCUCUGCCAAAAGUGGGAGCCUCCGCCUGAGAGAUGACUCACCAGGGCAGAACAGAUAAGCUAUACCUGCACUGGAAGAAAAGCAAAGGACAUUCUUUAAGCUGAAAGGAAAUUAUGUAAGAGAGAAACUUGGACCUCUAGGAAAGAAUAAGGAGCAUCAGUAAUGGCCUCAAGGAAAUGAACCCUGCCAGCAACCACCUGAGUGAGCUUGGAAGCGUCGCCUUCCCACCUUGAGGCAAUGAAAGCUCCAGCCAACGUCUUGAUUACCACCUGUGAAGGACACUGACACAGAGGACCCAGCUGAGCCGUGCCCACAGUCCUGAAACACUAGGUUAGCAAAGAGGCUAUGAGAAAAUAAAUAUCUCGAGCCAG